AUCACCAGUUGGCAGCACGAGCAGGAAUUUAGGCCCGGUGUCUAUUCCCUGGACGAUUACAACUUCGAGACCCCAACCACCAGUCUGCUCUCAACGAUAAACGGACAGGUAAAUCAGGGCGGCAAUCAACGUUUCGAGAUCUACGACUAUCCGGGAGAAUACGACAAGAAAGACGAAGGGGACACCUACGCUCGCAUUC
rnacentral:misc_RNA from 1 species